AGGGACUCCACCUUGGACUCCAGUUGCUCCCGUCUGGACAGCUCCUCCUCCCAUCUGCAACACAGAGCACAUGCAUGGAUCGCACACGAGGCACUUGGCACAUACUGCUUCAAUCAGUCCAGUGUGCUGCUAAUAGACACUCAUCUGAUCGCUGGGAUAUGAGAGAGCAGGCAUGCUGAGUCACGGAUGUUUCCCAAACAGAGUCUGAACUUCAGAAUGGACAAGGAACUCAUUGAAUAAAACAAGAGAAGUAUUCCUUGGCAGGACGUGCGAGCCCACACUGUGAUUGAAGCCUUGUUCUAAAAUUGCUGGCAGUGCUGCUUCACUGUGUCCACAACACUCCGCCUGCCUGCUGCAGGGCUCUCGCUAAGGUCGUCGGAGUUCACAACUGCAUCACAUCCUCUGCAGACAGAAAACAGUUUGUCACAGCAUCUGCCUGUGAUCUGCAUCAUUGGUGUUGGAGGCACACGGUCCCAUACGGAAAUCUAAUACGUACCCCCUUACCAGAGAAAUGUUAUAUAGGUUAGAUUAUGUUACAGCUACAGCCAUAAAUGAACCAUAUACAUAUAUCACCUUUGGCCAUGGUGAUGUGUAGCCUAUAUGUUGAACAUAUAUGUGUGCAAAUACCUAUCUAUCUAUAUAUGUGUAUG